ACGCACGCUGGCGGCGUGCCUAAUACAUGCCAGUUGAGCGCUGAAGGUUGGUACUUGUACCAACUGGAUGAGCAGCGAACGGGUGAGUAACGCGUGGGGAAUCUGCCUUUGAGCGGGGGACAACAUUUGGAAACGAAUGCUAAUACCGCAUAAAAACUUUAAACACAAGUUUUAAGUUUGAAAGAUGCAAUUGCAUCACUCAAAGAUGAUCCCGCGUUGUAUUAGCUAGUUGGUGAGGUAAAGGCUCACCAAGGCGAUGAUACAUAGCCGACCUGAGAGGGUGAUCGGCCACAUUGGGACUGAGACACGGCCCAAACUCCUACGGGAGGCAGCAGUAGGGAAUCUUCGGCAAUAGACGAAAGUCUGACCGAGCAACGCCGCGUGAGUGAAGAAGGUUUUCGAAUCGUAAAACUCGGUUGGUAGAGAAGGACGUUGGUGAGAGUGGAAAGCUCAUCAAGUGACGGUAACUACCCAGAAAGGGACGGCUAACUACGUG
rnacentral:rRNA from 1 species